rnacentral:rRNA from 1 species
UACGGAGGGUGCAAGCGUUAUCCGGAUUUACUGGGUUUAAAGGGUGCGUAGGUGGGCAGUUAAGUCAGUGGUGAAAAUCUCCGAGCUUAACUCGGAAACUGCCAUUGAUACUAUCUGUCUUGAAUAUCCUGGAGGUGAGCGGAAUAUGUCAUGUAGCGGUGAAAAUGCGUAGAUAUCUGGAGGAAUACCGGUGGCGAAGGCGGCAUCCUGGACCGGCAUUGACGCUGAGGAGCGAAAAGCCAGGGGGAGCAAAAACGGG